CUGCCCCGUGUUUCCAAUCAGCAGCAGUGUGUGAAUCAGACUGAACUCUAAAGCUGAUGACAUUUUCACACUGAUGAAAAAACACUGGCCAUCGAGCCUCAAGAGGGAGGACUUUAACAGACGCCUUCAUGAAGAACAAGUCUCCUGGACCCUCCACCCUCUGGUUCCCACGUGGAGUCCCUACAGACUGAUCUACCACCGCCCAGCUAGAUCUACAAAGAGCUGUCGGGCAGUCUGAUCACAGAGGAAGGCUGUACCUCUCUGGCCUCAGCUCUGAGAUCCAACCCCUCCCAUCUGAGAGAGCUGGAUCUGAGCUACAACCAUCCAGGAGACUCAGGAGUGAAGCUGCUGAUGGAUGGACUGAAGGAUCCACACUGGAGACUGGAGACUCUCAGGAGUUACUUCACUGCUGCUACGUCAUCUCCUUCUUCUUCUUCUGGAUGGGCGGAGCCUCUGAGUCAGCACACCUGUGUCACC